rnacentral:rRNA from 1 species
UAGGGAAUCUUCCACAAUGGACGCAAGUCUGAUGGAGCAACGCCGCGUGAGUGAAGAAGGUUUUCGUAUCGUAAAGCUCUGUUGUUGGUGAAGAAGGAUAGAGGCAGUAACUGGUCUUUAUUUGACGGUAAUCAACCAGAAAGUCACGGCUAACUACGUGCCAGCAUCCGCGGUAAUACGUAGGUGGCAAGCGUUGUCCGGAUUUAUUGGGCGUAAAUCGAGCGCAGGCGGAAUGUUAAGUCUGAUGUGAAAGCCCACGGCUCAAACGUGGAACUGCAUCGGAAACUGUCAAUCUUGAGUGCAGAAGAGGAGAGUGGAAUUCCAUGUGUAGCGGUGGAAUGCGUAGAUAUAUGGAAGAACACCAGUGGCGAAGGCGGCUCUCUGGUCUGCAACUGACGCUGAGGCUCGAAAGCAUGGGUAGCGAACAGG